GAGACUGGACAAAGCUGCUGGACAC
rnacentral:piRNA from 1 species